rnacentral:lncRNA from 1 species
UAUGCUUUUUGGCCAUCUGUCUGCCUUUAGAGGAAUGUCUGUUUAAAUCUUCUGACAAGUUUUUUGGAGUUCCCGUUGUGGCUCAGUGGUUAAUGAAUCCAACUAGGAACCAUGAAGUUACAGGUUUGAUCCCUGGCCUUGCUCAGUGGGUUAAGGAUCCAGCAUUGCUGUGAGCUGUGGUGUGGUUGCAGAUGCAGCUCGGAUCCUGCGUUGCUGUGGCUCUGGUGUAGGCCGACGGCUACAGCUCCAAUUCGACCCCUAGCCUGGGAACUUCCAUGUGCCACGGAAGCGGCCCAAGAAAUUGCAAAAAGAAAAAAAAAAACAAAUCUUCUGACGAGUUUUUAACUGGGUUGUUUAUUUUUCUGGUAUAAAGCUGUAUGAGAUGUUUGAGUAUUUUGAAGAUUAAUCCCUUGGCCAUCGCUUCAUUGGCAAAAAGAUUUUGUCCCAUUUUGUGGGCUAUCUUUUCGUUUUGUUUAUGUUUUCUUUAGCUGUGCAAAAGCUUUUAAGUUUAGUUAGGUCCUAUUUACUUAUUUUUCUUUGUUCUUUUCAUUACUCUAGGAGAUGGAUCAAAAAAGAUACUGCUGUGAUUUAUGUCAGUGUGUUCUGCCUAUGUUUUCCUCUAAGAAUUUUAUAGUAUGCAGCCGUAUGUUUAGGGCUUUAAUCCAUUUUGAGUUUAUUUUUGUGUGUGGUGUUAGUGUUCGAAUAUCAUUCUUUUACAUGUAGCUGUUUUCCAAGUACCACCUAUUGAAGAGACUGUUUUCUCCUUUCAAUAUUCUUGCCUCCUUUGUCAUAGAUUAAUUGACCAUAGGUGCUUAGGUCUAUUUCUGGACUUUCUAUCCUGUUCCACUGAUCUGUAUUUCUAUUUUUGUGCCAGUACCAUACUGUUAUGAUGACUGUAGAUUUGUAGUAUAGUCUGAAGUCGGGAGCCCUGAUUUUCCUACAGCUCUAUUUUUCUUUUUCCAGAUCAUUUCGGCUAUUUGGUGUCUUUUGUGUUUCCCUACAAAUUGUAAAAUUUUUGUUCUAAUUAUGUGCCAAAUGCCAUUGGUGAUUUGAUAGGGAUUGCUCUGAAUCUGUAGAUUGCCUUGUGUAGUAGAGUCAUUUUGAUAAUAUUGUCUUCCUUUUCCAAGAGCAUGGUAUAUCUUUUCAUCUGUGUCAUCCUGGAUUUCUUCACCAGUGUCUUACAGUUUUCAGAGUGUAAGUCUUUUGCUUCCCUAGGUGGGUUUAUUCUUAGGUAUUUUAUUAUCUUUGAUGUGAUGGUAAAUGGGAUUCUUUCCUUAAUUUCUCUUUCUAAUCUUUCAUUGUUAGUGAAUAGGAAUGCAAGCAAUUUCUGUGUAUCCAAUUUCUAUCCUACAGCUUUAUCAAAUUCAUUGAUGAACUCUAGUAAUUUUCUGGUAGCAGCUUUAGGAUUUUCUAUGUAUAGCAUUAUGUCAUCUGCAGACAGUGACAGUUUGACUUUUCCAAUUUGGGUUCCUUUUAUUUUUCUUCUCUGCUUGCUACAGCUAGGAUUUCCAGAUUACUCUAUUGGAUAAAGGUGGUGAGAGUGGUCAUCCUUGUUUUGUUCCUGAUCUUAGCAGGAAUGCUUUUAGCUUUUCACCGUUGAGAAUGGUGUUAGCUGUGGGUUUUCAUAGACGGCCUUUAUUAUGUUGAGGUAGGUUCCCUUUGUGGCAACUUUCUGGAGAGUUUUUAUCAGAAGCGGGUGUCGAAUUUUGUCAAAAGCUUUUUUUCUGCAUCUAUUGAGAGGAUCUAUUGAGAGCAGAGUUUUAACUCUUUACUUCUGUCUCCAAAUACAUCUAAAUACCUGAGUGUCUCUUCCCUAUUUCCUCUCAGUUGUCUUGGUUAGAACCAUCAUUCUCCACAAUUACCAUUUACCAUUGCUCACUUGUAUUUAAGGGUUUCUUAAAUGAAAGUGUCAGUUCUUCAUUUAUUUUUUAAAAUCUAUUAGUUUUUUUUGGCUGCACCUUUGGCAUAUGGAAGUUCCUGGGCCGGGGAUCAAAUCCAAACUGCAGCUGUGACCUGUGCCAUAUCUUUGGCAACACUGGAUCUUUUAACCCACUGUGCUGGGCUGGGGAUCAAACCCCUGCCUCAGGAGUGACCCCAGCCACUGCAGAGAUAUUGCCCAAUCCUUAGCCCGUUGUGCCACAGCAGGGACUCCAGGAAAGUGUCAAUUCUUUAGAUAACUUGUCUUUGAGACAUCUGUAGGAAGUCUUGAGAUUCUCUGAAGUGUUUGUCAUUAACUGUGAAUCACCAUGGUAGAUCUUGGAAUUCCAGGAAAAGUAAACGCAGAAAAUGUCCGUCUUUAUUCCAUAGGAAUUGGCAAGAACACUUGAAAAGAAAGGGAGUAGAGUUCUUUUUUCAUCCUUUGUAUGCUCGAAUUAUUUCAAAUGAUGUGUCUGUAGAAAAGGUUUCAUCUCUUUCAAAGUAUCCGUGGUAUGUGGAAGAAGAUACGAAGAUCUUUUAUCCAGUCGUGUGUUUAUUGAAGUUUCAUUGAAUACUUUGUUGUGCACAGGCGUAUAAGUAGGUGAUAGUGAUCUAAAGAUAAAUACAACUCUUCACAGCUUUUGUAAAGCUUGCAGCCUUCAUGAGAGAGACAGGGGCACAGUUAUAUGCUAUACUAAUUCAUAAAAGUAUUCCUGGGGUCUCAUGGGAAUGCCCUUCUGGGACACUAUACCCGUAGGGUCACCCUCUGAGAGCAGUAGUUCUUGAUUUUUCAUAACAGGACACUUUGGGGAUCUGAUAAACUAACGAUAUUCAUGUUGGGAUGGUUGUGGAUUAAAGUGAUGUAGUGGGAUUGUGCCUUAUGAUUCAGGGAUCAUCCAUCAGACCUGUUGCUGCCCCAUGAAGAACGGCCCAGAGAGAUGUGUAUACACAAAGAAAGAAGUUCAAACCAGAGCACUUGGGACAAUACAAAGGGAUCUAAAAUGUUUAAAUCAUGCAAUUUUGACAUAUUUAUUGAUCAAAAAAAUGGUUUUAAUGCAUUAGUGAGCCCAUAAAAUAAUUAUAUCCAAAACCCUUUUAGAAACAGUUUUUUUUGUAAAAAUUGAAAUAACCUAUUUGUGUACAUUAAAGCAGACAAUUUUACAU